AACGAACGCUGGCGGCGCGUUUUAAGCAUGCAAGUCGAACGAUAGGGAAGUGCUUGCACUUCCUGAGAGUGGCGAACGGGUGAGUAACGCGUAGGUGAUCUACCUUUUAGUUGGGGAUAGCUCAUGGAAACAUGGGGUAAUACCGAAUGAUCUCUGCGAUUUUGUUUGCAGAGGAAAGGGGCGUUUGCCCCGCUGAAAGAUGAGCCUGCGUAUGAUUAGCUAGUUGGUAGGGUAAUGGCUUACCAAGGCGACGAUCAUUAGCCGGCCUGAGAGGGUGACCGGCCACAUUGGGACUGAGACACGGCCCAGACUCCUACGGGAGGCAGCAGCUAAGAAUCUUCCGCAAUGGACGAAAGUCUGACGGAGCGACGCCGCGUGUGCGAAGAAUGUCGAGAGAUUGUAAAGCACUUUUAUAUGUGAGGAAUAACAGUAUCAGGAAAUGGGUAUUGGAUGACGUUAGCAUAUGAAUAAGCUCCGGCCAAUU
rnacentral:rRNA from 1 species